CGGGGCGGCGGAGAAGGGAGGGAAGCAGGCGGGGCGCCAGAGAAGGCCACAGGAAGCCCUAUUCUUGCAGGAAUCUUCCUGCAACAGACCUCUAGUUAUAAAUAACACUUAUUGAGUGCUUCUGACUCUAUUAAUGCUCACAACAAUCCUUUGAGUAAACACAAUCAUGCUGCUCUAUUUGGAUUCUGCCUCACAUGAAGAGGAAGUAAAAAAUCGUGUAAGUAUCCAAGGAUUGGGCUCCAACCGAUUUCACCAAAUAGUUCAAAGAUUUGCAGUGACAGAGCUCAUCUUCCAAGGCCUCACCAUGAAGUCUGCUUCUCAACAGCAAAGCGACAGCAAUAUUUUCAGAAAGCGCUUUUGACUGGCCUUCCUGGAGAUGCAAAUACAACUUGUGCUGAGCUAAACUCCUGCGUCUGACUCCCCAAGGACUCUGGAUUCUCCUUAUGCAAAGGCCUCGCCUUAUAAAUUCCACUGAGCUUGCUUCAACGGCAAAUGCGCCUUCAACUGGGAUAAAUCUGUCUUCCAAUAUUAUGUCUUGUAAAUCUCACUUUGCAGGGGUAUUUACAACCCAGCUACUGCAUGCUUACUUUAUUG